CGUGAAAGUUUUGUUAUAUUUUUUGAACACCCUGUUUCUUUGCACCUUUUUUUAUGUAUAUUGCGACGUGCAUUAGUUUCCAAAUAUAUUAACAAGAUGAGAUGAAAGGUUUUGGAUUUUGCUUUUUGUGUGCUAUAGUUUUCGAGUCAAAUCCUGCUGCAUAUACACAAAUGAUAUUGUAUUAGAUAAUGUUAAGGAUCGUAUGUUUCAAACUAUUAUUUUCCUUCCAAAAAAGUUCCCCUUUGAGGUUUCCUUUUAUUUCUCUUCUUCUUAUGGCUUUGAAUUUGGUCCUUUAGUUCUGGGAAUGCUAAGAGAAAGAAAUAGAAAUGCCUUAAAUGCUAAAAUAUUGAACUUUGGUUUUUUUUUUGAAAGGGAAUUUCUUACUGGAAAUCAAAUGUUUUAUUAUUUAUUCUUAAAAUAGAGAAAAGUUUUGGUUAGUCAAAAGGGUUUUUAUGAUAGGCUCCUGGAUUGUUAUUUGUAGUAGUCUGUUAUUUUUUUCCCCUCUCAAUGCUUUCGUAAUUAUAUAAUCAUCACCAACUUGCUCAUAUGAUCUGAAUUGAUGUGCAGUUCAUUGGGGGAGAUAUAUGGCUGUGGUGAUUUGAUUUGUUCAUCACACAUGAUUUUUACGUUAUUAUUUGUUCUAACAUGGAAGAAAUAAGGCACAAUAAGGUGGAGACAAAGGUGCUAAAUUCAUCACGCAUACGAGAUUUUUUUUAGAUGUAUCUUAAGCAGUUUGCUUCACUACUUGCCAUUAUUUCGAGCCUCCUAAUUAUAGCCUCUCACAAGAAUUACAUAGUCGACAUUGUUGUCACUUGGUAAACAAAAGCAGGAUUUUGUUAUGUUAUUGAAUAGACUAAUUGGUAUUGUUUUGUGAACUGUUAUAUUCUU